GAGAUAGAGACAGACGAAGAGAAAAAGAAAGAGAGAUAGAGAGAAAGAUGGUGUUCUUCUCAAAUAAUAAUAAAGAGAUUAUGAUGUUCUCUCAAGUAUGGACCAGAGGUCGACCGUGCCAGUGAAAACGAAUGAAAGUGCUAUUCUACUUAGGCAUACACGCAUAAUAACGUGCGACGUAUACAUACAUACAUACAUACAUGCAUACAUACAUACAUAUAUACAUGCAUACAUACCAAAGGACAGAGUAUUUCGUUCCUCGUACCUCACAUCGUAUAAUAUGAUAAUUAAUUGCGUCGUUUAGAUACAUGCCUACAUACAUACAUACAUACUUGCAUACAUACGUUACGUGACAAUCGAAAAACUUAUUUUUACAACAAUGCAAGCACUCGUACUCGUAGACUCAGGAGAAUGAUUCUUUCUUGGCUUUCUGUUUAAAAGAGAGAGAGAGAGAGAGAGAGAGAGGGAGAGAGAGAAGGAAAAAAUAAAGAAGAAGUAGAGAAAAGUAGAGGAAAUCGGAUAUAUUAUUAUAAAGAGAUCUUUUAAAAGGGAAUAAUAAGAAGAUGAGGUAGAAAAAAGAAAUAAAACUAAAGGUAAAAAUAAAGAUACAAAUAAAAAUAAAGUAAAAUAAAGUAAAGUAAAAUACAAAGAUGAAGAAGAAACAAAAGGAAAUAAUAGAUAUCUAACGAGAGUAAAGUAGCACCGUAGAGGAAAAGACGGAAUUAGAGGAAAGAAAGAGCGAGAGAGAGAGAGAGAGAGAGAGAGAGAGAAUAGAAUAGAGAAGAAAAUGGGAUAAGAGUCGAUAAAGAACGAGUAAGUAAAAAGGACGAUUAAAAGAGAAAAGAAUAAAGAAACUAGAAAAGAAAUUAGAAGAGAAAGUUCGAAGAGAUUCUUAUAAUCUCAUAUACAUAGAUAUCAUUUGGAAAAGGGACUCGAUUAUUAAAAUGAACAAAAUAAUAAUAACAAUAAUAAUAAUAAUAAUAAUAAUAAUAAUAAUAAUAAUAAUAAUAAUAAUAAUAAUAAUAAUAAUAGUCGACGUUGUUGUUACAUUCGUCGAAACGACUUAAAGAAAGCAGAUGAAGGAAAAGAAAAAGAAAAAGAAGAAGAAGAAGAAAAAGAAAAAGAAAAAGAAAAAGAAGAAGAGAGAGUUACCUCAACGUCCGUUCAAUGUGAUAUUUUGCAAUAUCCGAUAAUUAACUAGAUGUUGACUAGUCAGACUUUUAAGUAGGUAUAAUUUCAUUGAUUUUCAACAUGAAAACAGCCCUCUCAUUGUAGCCCAUUAAUUCAGGGAUACGAAUGGUGGGAGGGCCUGCAGCAGCAUAAGAUAUUGUGAUAUAAUUCUUCUAAUAUAUCUAUAAAGUUUUAUAUUCGUGUAAUAUCUCUCUCCGUUGACCUGUAUGGGUCACAACCAUAUAUAUUAUCCUUUCUCAAGGUGUUCGACCGGGAUAAAGGUACAUACGUACGUACAUACAUACAUAGAUACAUACAUACAUACAUACAAUAUAUGUAGAUAUGUAUGUAAAAGUUGUCCGUUGGGGGAAGAAACGUGGAGGAAACACGGGUUUCUCUUCGUGUCGGCGUUCAUUUCACGUUGGGCCGUCGUGCUUCUUCGAGAUAUACAUAUAAAAGAAAAGGAGAGAGAGAGAGAGAGAGAGAGAGAGAGAGAAAGGUCGAUAAAAGUAGGAUCGAUUGGAGGGUAUCGUGUCAUUCGAAUCGCGACGGUCCUAGUUUUAAGUUCAUUCCGAACUCUCUUUCUCUCUCUCUUUCUCUUUCUCUUUCUCUUUCUCUCUCUCUCUCUCUCUCUCUCCCUUUUUCUCUUCUCUCUUUCUCUCUCUCUCUCUCUCUCUCUCGCACAGCGGAUUCCGAGAAUCAAUUAAUGGUGACGCGGCGUAUGACUUCGCGUCACGUUAGCUCGCGUGACACCCGGUCGUCUUUCAAAUCGCAGUCGGUAAACGUACCUCCCAAAUGUGCACGGCGCAUAAUAUAUUCAAGGCGAUUGUGACCAACGCGCGAUUUCGAUUAUUUUCGUGGUCGGAAAGCGUGCAUGCAUUAUAAUACGUGUAUAAGGGUAUAUACCUACCUGGAGAUUAGGUACCUUAACUAAAUCUUUUUACAAAGAACGAGAGAGAGAGAGAGAGAGAGAGAGAGAGAGAGAGAGAGAGAGAGAGAGAGAGAGAGAGAGAGAGAGAGAGAAAGAGAGAGAGGAAAGAACGAAAUACAUAAAAUAAAACGAUUCGUAAGAGCCACGGGAAUGAUUAUCGAAACGAGGGAAAGUAAAAAAAGAAAAGACAAGAAGAAGAAAGAAAUAGAAAAAAAGAAAGAAAAGUUAAUAAGGGAAAAAGUAAUAAAAGCAUCUUCUUUCUCGCGUUUAAAUAAGUACAUAUACCAAUAUAUGUACUUACGCGUAUCGGGAAUUCGUAUAUUGUAAUUAUUCGUAAAAUAAAAUGAUAUAUAAGACUUUGAAAAAAUAAAAUAUGAAAAAUCGCGAGAGAUCAGUGGCUCGGCCUUUCGAUAGCGUCGCGGGCGCCGUAUUGUAUUUUUUGUAAGGCUCGUUUUGCCAGAUUGUGAUAGCCAAGUUCACGACUCCUUCGAAAAUAGCCGAAGUACCAGGUCGCGCGAAAAUGAUUAAACGAAAAGAAAAA